rnacentral:lncRNA from 1 species
AGGCGGGGAUUUAUGGUGUGAGGGAGGCCCAGCGCCAUUGACGUGAGGGUCACGCUUCUGGGACCGCAGAGCGGCGUGGUUUGGGGCUGUAGCUGCCCAGGUCGAGGGGUUUCUGAGAAGCUGGGCUGUUGUGGCAGGUCUGGGUGGUCUCUGUCUGAAGGGAUGGGAGACUGAGGAGGUGAGAAUACUGAGACACCCCACAAUACUGCAGGUGCUACCGAGAUACUGAAUCAGUGCAGCUGGAGAUACCACAGACUUUCCUCACCUUCAUCCUCCCACCAGGGAAGGAUCCAUCCUUGAAACAUGGAGGCUGGCAGGACUUUCAGAAGUUACUCAGCUGGGAAACCAGAAGCCUAAAAAGUCUUGAGUCAAUGAUGCAGACUCCUACAUGCCCAGCUGUUUCUCAAGAGCUGCUGGUCCUGUCUUGAAGGGUUUCAAAGCUGAAGAGCAUAAGCAAGGU